rnacentral:tRNA from 1 species
GCCGAUGUAGUUCAAUGGUAGAACAUCAGCUUCCCAAGCUUGCAUCGGCG